CAGUUACUUCACCUCAUGUUAACAAGGGUGAAUCAGCAAAAUUACUUGGGCCACCUAAAGCAGCUGGCCUGCAAUUUCCACAUGAAAUCACUACAGAUUACUCUGUUCAGCAGUCAAAAUCUGUGCUUGAACCAGUGAGUUCUGUUUCACCUUCAAUCAGUAUCAAGAAUACGUCUGCAACAUCCGCCUCUGUGUCAGCGCAGAAACUGCCAUCCAGUAACUAUUCUUCUUCUGUUGUACCUUAGGAUGAAUCUUCAUCUCUUGGAGCCAACGCAGAAGGUAGAAGAGAAAACGUUAGAAGGUCGGACUCUUUCAAGGAUCAUUUGAAGAAGACAACUAAGAAAGAUGUACAGGAUUGUCAUUCACAACGCCAGGAAAAUGCCUCGGACUCUGUAGGUGCUUCUAAGUCCUUUUCGUCCGUUGUCUCUUGUGAAGUUGCCAAACGCCCUGAAACUAGUCAGGAUUUACCUUCAGAGGUAGUUAAGUCAUCAACUAGUGGUUAUGAUGCUUGUGAGGUAUUAAAUGGUGCAACGAAUGGUGGGGCCAGUGAACCAUUCAGCACUUGUGACCUUGGACUCGCAAAAGAGAUUGAGCAAACACUGGAAAUUCUAGUGAAAGAAAAAUCUUCAGCGGACCCAAAGUCAUCUGACAUUUCAGAACACAAUGAACAUAAAGACGGAUCCAGAGGGAAAGAAGAGAACACCAGUGACUAGUUCCGCAGAAGCUGAACAGGUGAUGGGAAAAACUGCUGCUUGUAGCUCAGAAGAUAACAUGGUGACGGUUGACGAUGUUGCACUAGCUUCCAGUGAUGCCGUAAAUGUUUCUACUUCUGUUUCACUUCCUGUAUCUCGAGAUAUUGCUACAGAUUCACAUACAGUUGUAAAUGAAACCACUGGUGGGAUAGAAGUAUCCAUUUAUCUCACCCAGACCCUGCUCCUGUUAUGUCACCAGCUUCAUGAGAAGUUAAUUCUGAGUUUGAAGGCAAAAACACUUCAGGGGCUGUUUCUGAGUUCUGUUUCUGGUUCAAUUUCCACUUCAGGGGCUGUUUCUAAGGAUAAGCCCGAACUAACUAGGACUAAGAGCAACAUCACUGCGAAAGCAAAAAAAAAGAGGAAACACAUUCUCAAGGCCGCGGAUGCUGCUGGAUCAAGUUCCGAGCUUCACAAUGCGUACCAGGGUCCAGAGGAAAAGCAUGAAGCAUCUGAAAUACUGGACAGUUCUCACAAUGCUAGUUCAAAUCUUGAACCCUGCAAAGUGGCGGAGAAGGAUUUUACAGCCAGUGAAAAAGAUGCAGAGAGUAAAUCUGAGCCAGAUGAUUGGGAAGAUGCUGCAGAGAUUUCUACUCCAAAAUUGAAGAUCUCUGAUGACGGGAAGCAGCUUGAUGGAGAUGGGAGUGGUGGUACUAGCAAAAAGUAUAGCAGAGAUUUUCUCCUGACAUUUUCAGAGCAAUGCAAUGUACUUCCCAUAAACGUUAAUAUUGGACCCGACAUAGCAGAUUCUUUGAUGAGUGUUCAAAUAGCUAUUUCUCAUCAUGUUGAUCGAGAACCAUAUCCAAGUUCUGAAAAAGUUGUUGAUAGACCGAGUGGGGGACCUCGGCCAGAUCGACGUGGCAGUGGUAUGUUGGAUGAGGGUAAUAAACCUUGGAACAGGCUACCUGGUAGGAAGGGAUCCGCUCAUGGACCCAAUCAGACACGCAGAAGGUUCUUCCGGAGGUUUUCGGCCUCAAGGAGGGGAAAUCAUGGCGUAUUAAAGAAUCCUCGGGGACAUCCACCUGGACACUAUACUGGUGGUAUUCUUUCUGGGCCAAUGCAACAGGGUGGGAUGCCAAGAAACAACUCCGAAAAUGUUGUAAAGCAAAACACCAAAUUCUCUGCUCUUUAAAGGUGACGUUCCAAAAAUCUUCUCGACUCCAAUGAUACGAAAUUUCCAGAAUGUAGCAGCGGAAAACACCAAAUUCUCUGCUCUGAACUGAAGUGAUUGUAUGUUGCUAUCACUCGUACUAGGCGGAGACUGUGGAUCUGUGAGAAUAUAGAUGAUUUUCGAAGCCUAUAUUUGAUUACUGGAAGAAGUUAUGUCUCGUUCAAGUGAGAGAACUUGAUGAACCAGUUGUACAAGCAAUGCAAGUUACGAGCAGCACAGAAGAAUGGAGUUCACGCGGUAUCAAGUACUUAAUGAUGGUUAUUUUGAUAUGGCGACAGUGUGCUUUAAAAGAGCUGGUGAUUCAUUCUUGGAGAAACUUGCUAAAGCUUCUGGUCUUAGAGCUGCUGGUAUUCACUGCUUGGUUCUAAUACUGAACUAGCUUGGGUUGCUCUUGUAGUGACAGCUGAGAUUGUGCUGCCAAAUGUCUCGUGGAGUUAAAGGAAUUUAGAAGAGCAGGUACGAUUGAUUAGGAACGCUGUGGGGAACCUAGGCUUGAAGAAGCUGGCGACUGUUUCAGUCUUUCUGGAUGUUGGUCUACUGCAGCUGAUGUGUAUUUGGUUAAUAAAAUCAAGCCUUUUCCACUCAUGUUCCCUGAAUUUGUAUCUUCUGCUCAAAACUAUUGGGGAAGUUGAAAAGCAUCGACAAACAUUCUGAUUUGGCUAAAACUGGUAAGGGUUAUUUCAUGUCGACUACUGGUCCUUUUCAACAAGGAAUAACCGCUCUUAACAGUUAUCAAGUUGCAAAAUCAAUAAUAGAGCCCAAGAUACCGGGCAAAAGCUUCCUGGAGAACUGCUCAAUUGCUUGGAACAUACCGAGCAGCGUUUUUUCGCGAUGUAUUGUCAGAGGGACCCGAAGAUAAGAUGGUUAUGAUCGAUCUGAGACUAACUGAAUAUCAUGAGCACAAAAGGAAGGUUAACGUAUGUGAACAUGUGGAGUGUGGUUUUGCUGAUUUCAAUGUCGGUAAUCUAAGUGAAGAACUGUAUCAAGUUAUAAUACAAUGUUCGGGUCUGUCUCCAACCUAUAAAGUUUUCAUUAAGCAGUUGAAAGAGAACAUGAUAUCAGGAUUGGUCUCGGUUUCUUUGGUCAGCAAUUUUGAAAAAUCAUUGCUCUCAACCACGACUGGAAGAAAGAUUUCUAUGUCAUGCGACCUUCCUGGUUUGUUUAUUUUCUUUGGCGUCUUCUUUUCUUGGUUUCAUCUUGGCAUGGUUCCUUUCUUACAUUAAAGUCUUCUGUCCGUGAAAUAAUUCCCCGGGGGACUCUAAGAUGCAACUCGAGCUCUUUAUCAGUAGCUGACUCAAAAGUUUUCUCUAGGAGGUCUUUCGAUUAUGGGCGUUCCAUGCAGUUGUUUACGAAUACAUCUCGUAUUUUCGAAAAGAAUUUUUGAGGACAUCAGCUUUCAUGAUUGCAAACCAUGGAUGAAGCUGGAUAUUUGCAUUUAUUUCGUAGUAGUAUUCGUCUGCUUGUUAAAGAUGUGAAGUGGAUGAAGGAACUAAAGCUGCUCUCUUAUGCAUUAAGUGGCAGGAUAUGGAUGAGGAGGGAGAUUGAAAUUGCAGUUGUUACACAUAGUGGAUUCUUGUGCCAUUCCCUAAAAUCAUUUGGAAGUAGCUGUCAUCCAUUGAUGAAGGUUGAAGUCUGCAAGCAGUAUUUUGCUGCCUCCCUAGGAGUUUAAUUGUAACAGUCUUCCCAUAACUAAAACUAAAAGAAAAGGUUGAAGCUGGCAGAGAGCCCUGAUAUUCUUAACUUUGCGAAUCGUACGUGAACUUCGGUUAAUGGUGAUCGUUGAUAGAGGGUGAGUGAAUGUGCCUUGUCUUGAUUGCCAUUUAGUGUUAGAUGAUUGUUUUUCUGUAAUAACAGUUUCCACUGGGCAGUUCAAAAGAAUCUUCUUACAUGAGAGAAACUAUUCUGAGUUUUUAUUGAUAUGUGAUCAAAUGCAGUCUGACAAACAAGUUAAGAAUUUCCUGUAAAUAAAGUAAUUUUCAAUUACACCAAUAGAUCAAUAAAUAAUUUUAGAAAAGGUA